rnacentral:tRNA from 2 species
GGAGGAGUGGCAGAGUGGUCUAUUGCACUGGUCUUGAAAACCAGAGUAUCCGAAAGGGUACCGUGAGUUCGAAUCUCACCUCCUCCGCAA